rnacentral:rRNA from 1 species
UACGUAGGGCGCAAGCGUUAUCCGGAAUUAUUGGGCGUAAAGAGCUCGUAGGCGGUUUGUCGCGUCUGCCGUGAAAGUCCGGGGCUCAACUCCGGAUCUGCGGUGGGUACGGGCAGACUAGAGUGAUGUAGGGGAGACUGGAAUUCCUGGUGUAGCGGUGAAAUGCGCAGAUAUCAGGAGGAACACCGAUGGCGAAGGCAGGUCUCUGGGCCACUACUGACGCUGAGAAGCGAAAGCAUGGGGAGCAAACAGG